UCGGAGAGUUUGAUCCUGGCUCAGGACGAACGCUGGCGGCGUGCCUAAUACAUGCAAGUCGAGCGGACAGAAGGGAGCUUGCUCCCGGAUGUUAGCGGCGGACGGGUGAGUAACACGUGGGUAACCUGCCUGUAAGACUGGGAUAACUCCGGGAAACCGGAGCUAAUACCGGAUAGUUCCUUGAACCGCAUGGUUCAAGGAUGAAAGACGGUUUCGGCUGUCACUUACAGAUGGACCCGCGGCGCAUUAGCUAGUUGGUGGGGUAAUGGCUCACCAAGGCGACGAUGCGUAGCCGACCUGAGAGGGUGAUCGGCCACACUGGGACUGAGACACGGC
rnacentral:rRNA from 1 species